CCUACGGUGAGCAGCAGUGAGGAAUAUUGGUCAAUGGGCGCGAGCCUGAACCAGCCAAGUAGCGUGAAGGAUGACUGCCCUACGGGUUGUAAACUUCUUUUAUAAAGGAAUAAAGUGAGGCACGUGUGCCUUUUUGUCUGUACUUUAUGAAUAAGGAUCGGCUAACUCCGUGCCAGCAGCCGCGGUAAUACGGAGGAUCCGAGCGUUAUCCGGAUUUAUUGGGUUUAAAGGGAGCGUAGAUGGGUUGUUAAGUCAGUUGUGAAAGUUUGCGGAUCAACCGUAAAAUUGCAAUGGAUACUGGCAGUCUUGAGUACAGUUGAGGUAGGCGGAAUUCGUGGUGUAGCGGUGAAAUGCUUAGAUAUCACGAAGAACUCCGAUUGCGAAGGCAGCGUAAUAAACUGCCACUGACAUUGAUGCUCGAAAGUGUGGGUAUCAAACAGGAUUAGAUACCCCUGUAGUC
rnacentral:rRNA from 1 species